GGGGAAAAGAACCCACCAGGGAUUGCCCUAGUAACGGCGAGUGAAGCGGCAACAGCUCAAAUUUGAAAUCUGGCUCUUUCAGAGUCCGAGUUGUAAUUUGCAGAGGGCGCUUUGGCGUUGGCAGCGGUCCAAGUUCCUUGGAACAGGACGUCACAGAGGGUGAGAAUCCCGUACGUGGUCGCUGGCCUUCGCCGUGUAAAGCCCCUUCGACGAGUCGAGUUGUUUGGGAAUGCAGCUCUAAAUGGGAGGUAAAUUUCUUCUAAAGCUAAAUACUGGCCAGAGACCGAUAGCGCACAAGUAGAGUGAUCGAAAGAUGAAAAGCACUUUGGAAAGAGAGUCAAAUAGCACGUGAAAUUGUUGAAAGGGAAGCGCUUGCAGCCAGACUUGCCUGUAGUUGCUCAUCCGGGCUUUUGCCCGGUGCACUCUUCUAUAGGCAGGCCAGCAUCAGUUUGGGCGGUUGGAUAAAGGUCUCUGUCAUGUACCUCUCUUCGGGGAGGCCUUAUAGGGGAGACGACAUGCAACCAGCCUGGACUGAGGUCCGCGCAUUUGCUAGGAUGCUGGCGUAAUGGCUGUAAGCGGCCCGUCUUGAAACACGGACCAAGGAGUCUAACAUCUAUGCGAGUGUUUGGGUGUCAAGCCCGAACGCGUAAUGAAAGUGAACGGAGGUGGGAACCCUUACGGGCGCACCAUCGACCGAUCCUGAUGUCUUCGGAAGGAUUUGAGUAAGAGCAUGGCUGUUGGGACCCGAAAGAUGGUGAACUAUGCUUGAAUAGGGUGAAGCCAGAGGAAACUCUGGUGGAGGCUCGCAGCGGUUCUGACGUGCAAAUCGAUCGUCAAAUUUGGGCAUAGGGGCGAAAGACUAAUCGAACUAUCUAGAACU
rnacentral:rRNA from 1 species